AUUGAACGCUGGCGGCAUGCCUUACACAUGCAAGUCGAACGGCAGCACGGGGGCAACCCUGGUGGCGAGUGGCGAACGGGUGAGUAACAUAUCGGAACAUACCCUAGAGUGGGGGGAUAACGUAGCGAAAGUUACGCUAAUACCGCAUACGAUCUAAGGAUGAAAGUGGGGGGAUCUUCGGACCUCAUGCUCAUGGAGUGGCCGAUAUCUGAUUAGCUAGUUGGUGAGGUAAAGGCUCACCAAGGCGACGAUCAGUAGCUGGUUUGAGAGAACGACCAGCCACACUGGAACUGAGACACGGUCCAGACUCCUACGGGAGGCAGCAGUGGGGAAUUUUGGACAAUGGGGCAACCUGAUCCAGCAAUAGCCGCGUGACCCGUGAAGAAGGCGUCGGUGUAAG
rnacentral:rRNA from 1 species